rnacentral:pre_miRNA from 1 species
GGCUUUUUGUAUCCGUGCUGAGAUUUCGUCAGACACCAACCCAUUCAAGCUGAUCAGACUUCCAAGAUAAGUGAAGUU